rnacentral:lncRNA from 1 species
GUUUCCUUGAGCUCCUGCGGUCUGCGUCCACGUAGAAGCGGAAGCCGAGGAUCCACAAUUAAUGGACUGCAGUGGGAAAACCACCCACAGCUCUGCCUGAUGCGCUUCAACUGCUGCAGCUCGGGAGGAGAAGGAAAACAAACCACUUGCUUCAUCAAGAUAAGGUUUUUAGAGGCUGCAUCCCACUCAUCAGGCCAGUUUGGGAUGGAAUUCUCCAUGGAGUCCAGGGUGGCCUCAAACUUAAAGCAAUCCUCCUGCCUUAGCCUCCUGAGUGCAGGGAUUACUACUAGUGCAUGACACUAUGCCCAGCUUCUGCUUCUUUCAAACAAGCUGCCUCAUUUUCUUAGACCUACCUGGGAGAAAACAUCGGCUUUCCUCCCCUUUAAUCACAGGAGUAAUCUAGGGGGCAGCUGGGCACCUGUGGGAGUGGGUCUUUAGGACAGUGACUCUGCUGCUCAGUGAUGGCUACAAGAAUCCCCUUGCUUAUUAUGUGAGAGAGAAAGGCAUUCACAGCACAUGUGUGAACAGCAGAGAGAAUGCUGGCCCAACCACAAGCCUGCUCUCAGCGCUGUCUUCCAAGUGACACUUGACUCUGGAGAAGCUGCACUCGAAGGCUAAGAAGUACAAAGCUCUGACCUUUCUCUAACUACCUCCCUACAAGUCUGAGGACACCACAAACUCUUUCCAGAAGUCAAAGUCCCCCUGGUUCCCAUCAAAGUCCUUAUCCUCAUCCUCCAAGGCUACCUGGCAUCACCAGGGCUAAUCCUAUGGGCAUUCAGCACCAGGCACUGUGUGCUGCUGAGGCUGGCCAGCCAAGGCCUGCUCUGUCACCUCACCCAGGAGGCACUGGCUUGGCACCCUUGAAGCUAGAACCAGUUCCGGCCGGCAGUGAGAUCAGCAAGAACUGACCAAAUGCAGCUUCUCUGCAAUUCUACACCAGCAACACAUGUACAGCUACUUUCCUUCACAGAUCUUUUCUGUCCUGAUGUCAACGCUGGGUAAAAUUGGGUUCUAAAUGGCCUUUGCUAAUAUUUCCAUAAAAGUCAAACUUACU